UACUAUAAACACUAGAACCAGCAGUGGUCUUUAGAAGUUAAUUCAGUUUGACAUGAAAACUUCAACAAUGGUUUGGACUCUAUGUUGCUGUCUUAUUUUGUCUUCUUUUGUCAAAUUCUCUGACGCAUUUACCCUCAAUAACCAAGUUGGUAAAAGGUUUUUUAAGCAUAAUAGAGAUAUUCGGGAUAUCUGCCGGUUCGUCUACGAACAAUGUGGUACCCUGAGACCCAAGCUACAGUCACGUGACACAAACACUCGUGAGUCGAGAUCCAAGAAAAGAGACAUUAUCGAUGAAUGAAGAUAACGCAAUCCACGCCGCUAUCGAAGAAAAUUGUACAUGUUGCUUAUGUAAAUUAUUGUUAAAAGAAGAGUAGAACUUUGUUCAACUGAAGUCCACUGAAUAUCAAACUGAGUGCAUGAUUGCACAUCAUAAAAAGUUUCAUUUCUUGUGAAGUAAGCAAAUCUAUAAGGACAUUGACUUGACAAUAAAUUUGUAGGUGGUGCAAUUUUA